rnacentral:rRNA from 1 species
CCUACGGGGUGCAGCAGUGAGGAAUAUUGGUCAAUGGCCGCAGGGCUGAACCAGCCAAGUCGCGUGAGGGAUGACGGUCCUAGGGAUUGUCAACCUCUUUUGUCAGGGAGCAAAGGGCGCCACGUGUGGCGUUUUGCGAGGACCUGAAGAAAAAGCAUCGGCUAACUCCGUGCCAUCAGCCGCGGUAAUACGGAGGAUGCGAGCGUUAUCCGGAUUUAUUGGGUUAAAAGGGUGCGCAGGCGGAAUGUAAAGUCAGCGGUAAAAUUUCGGGGCUCAACCCCGUCGUGCCGUUGAAACUGGCGGUCUUGAGUGAGCGAGAAGUAUGCGGAAUGCGUGGUGUAGCGGUGAAAUGCAUAGAUAUCACGCAGAACUCCGAUUGCGAAGGCAGCAUACCGGCGCUCAACUGACGCUCAUGCACGAAAGCGUGGGUAUCGAACAGGAUUAGAUACCCGGGUAGUC